rnacentral:ncRNA from 1 species
AGAGUUUGAUCCUGGCUCAGAAUGAACGCUAAUGAUUAGCUUAACACAUGCAAGUUAGAUUUAUCUAGCGAACGGGUGAGUAAUACAUAAAAAUUAACCUUCAAAAAUCAAGAAAAGUUUAUGCAGGAUUAGGUAGUUGGUAAUUUAAUAGAUUGACCAAGCUUAUGAUCCUUAGCUGGUCUGUGAGGAUGAACAGCCACAUUGGAAUUGAGAUACGGUCCAGACUCUUUUUAGAGGCAGCAGUGGGGAAUUUUAGGCAAUGGGCGAAAGCCUGACCUAGCUAAGUCAUGUGUGUGAUGAAGAUUAUUAAUCGUAAAGCACUUUAUUUAAUCUUUCAAUUAUGAUUUCAAAUUAGAAAAAAGUCCUGGCUAAUUCCGUGCCAGCAGCCGCGGUAAAACGGGAAGGGCUAGCGUUAUUCGGGUUGAUUGGGCGUAAAGGAUACGUAGGCUGAAAACUAACCAAUAAUUUAAAACUAAAAGUUUAUUUUUUAUUUAAUUAUUAAAGUAGUUUUCUCGAGUUUAAGAGGAAGAUUAUGGAACUUUAAAUGUAACGGUAAAAUGUGUUGAUAUUUGAAAGAACCUCUACAGCGAAAGCAAUAAUCUAAGUUAAAACUGACGCUGAGGUAUGAAAGCGUGGGUAUCAAAGGGGAUUAGAUACCCCCCUAGUCCACGCCCUCAACGAUGAGUGUUACUUUUUGGUUUAAUUGCCAGAAAGAAAACUAACGUGUUAAACACUCCGCCUGGGAACUACGAUCGCAAGAUUAAAACUCAAAGGAAUUGACGGGGACCUGCACAAGUAGUGGAGCAUGUGGUUUAAAUUGACAAUACGCGCAAAACCUUACCAAUUUUUGUAUGAUAUUAAUCACAGGAGUUGCAUGGCUGUCGUCAGUCCGUGCCGUGAGGCGUUUGGUUUAUUCCAACCAACGGACGAAACUCUUUUACAUUACUAAUGUAUAUCGCUAGGGACAUCUUAGAGGAAGGUAAGAAUGACGUCAAGUCCUUAUGACCCUAAUAAGUUGGGCUACUUUCAUGUGCUACAAUAAACUUCUCAAUCAGAAGCAAAAACGUAAGUUUAAGCAAUUCUACAAAGAUUUUUAUUCGGAUUAUUUUCUGCAACUCGAAAAUAUAAAGUUGGAAUUACAAGUAAUCGUAAAUCAGAAUGUUACGGUGAAUUUGUUCUCAGGUCUUGUACACACCGCCCGUCACGCUAUGGAA